rnacentral:rRNA from 1 species
UACGUAGGGCGCAAGCGUUGUCCGGAAUUAUUGGGCGUAAAGAGCUCGUAGGCGGUUUGUCGCGUCUGUCGUGAAAGCUUGGGGCUUAACCCCAAGUCUGCGGUGGAUACGGGCAGACUAGAGGCAGGUAGGGGAGAACGGAAUUCCCGGUGUAGCGGUGAAAUGCGUAGAUAUCUGGAGGAACACCGGUGGCGAAGGCGGCAUCCUGGACCGGCAUUGACGCUGAGGCGCGAAAGCUAGGGGAGCAAACGGG